rnacentral:rRNA from 1 species
AGUGAACGCUGGCGGUAGGCCUAACACAUGCAAGUCGAACGGCAGCACAGUAAGAGCUUGCUCUUACGGGUGGCGAGUGGCGGACGGGUGAGGAAUACAUCGGAAUCUACUUUUUCGUGGGGGAUAACGUAGGGAAACUUACGCUAAUACCGCAUACGACCUACGGGUGAAAGCAGGGGAUCUUCGGACCUUGCGCGAUUGAAUGAGCCGAUGUCGGAUUAGCUAGUUGGCGGGGUAAAGGCCCACCAAGGCGACGAUCCGUAGCUGGUCUGAGAGGAUGAUCAGCCAGACUGGAACUGAGACACAGUCCAGACUCCGACGGGAGGCAGCAGUGGGGAAUCUUGGACAAGGGGCGAGAGCCUGAUCCAGCCAUACCGCGGGAGUGAAGAAGGCCUUCGGGUUGUAAAGCCCUUUUGUUGGGAAAGAAGAGCAGCAGGUUAAUACCCGGCUGUUAUGACGGUACCCAAAGAAUAAGCACCGGCUAACUUCGUG